rnacentral:rRNA from 1 species
UAAUACAGAGGGUGCGAGCGUUAAUCGGAAUUACUGGGCGUAAAGCGCGCGUAGACGGUUUUGUAAGUCGGAUGUGAAAUCCCCGGGCUCAACCUGGGAACUGCAUUCGAUACUGCUUGGCUAGAGUACGGUAGAGGGAAGCGGAAUUUCCGGUGUAGCGGUGAAAUGCGUAGAUAUCGGAAGGAACACCAGUGGCGAAAGCGGCUUCCUGGACCAGUACUGACGUUCAUGUGCGAAAGCGUGGGGAGCAAACAGGAUUAGAUACCCUGGUAGUCCACGCCAUAAACGAUGACAACUAGAUGUUGGGAGGGUCUGCCUCUCGGUGUCGCAGCUAACGCGUUAAGUUGUCCGCCUGGGGAGUACGGCCGCAAGGUUG